rnacentral:miRNA from 2 species
CUCCCUAAUCGAGUCAGGUUGA